AUUGAACGCUGGCGGCAUGCCUUACACAUGCAAGUCGAACGGCAGCGCGGACUUCGGUCUGGCGGCGAGUGGCGAACGGGUGAGUAAUGCAUCGGAACGUACCUUUCAGUGGGGGAUAACGUAGCGAAAGUUACGCUAAUACCGCAUAUUCUGUGAGCAGGAAAGCAGGGGAUCGCAAGACCUUGCGCUGAUUGAGCGGCCGAUGUCAGGUUAGCUAGUUGGUGAGGUAAAGGCUCACCAAGGCGACGAUCUGUAGCGGGUCUGAGAGGAUGAUCCGCCACACUGGGACUGGGACACGGCCCAGACUCCUACGGGAGGCAGCAGUGGGGAAUUUUGGACAAUGGGGGAAACCCUGAACCAGCCAGGCCGCGUGAGUGAAGAAGGCCUUCGGGUUGUAAAGCUCUUUCGGCCGGGAAGAAAUCGCAUGGGUUAAUACCCUGUGUGGAUGACGGUACCGGAAUAAGAAGCACCGGCUAACUACGUGCCAGCCGCCGCCGUAAUAC
rnacentral:rRNA from 1 species